GACAGGUACAGUGGCACGUGCUUGUAGUCAGCUACUCAGGAGGCUGAGGCAGGAGGAUCACUUGAGCCCAGGAGUCCUGGGCUGUAGUGCCCUAUGCUGAUAGGGUGUUCACACUGAGUUCACAUUAAUAUGGUGACCUCCCAGGAGUGAGGGAUCACCAGGCUGCCUAAGGAGGGGUUAACCUGCCCAGGUCAGAAGCAGAACAAGUGAAAACUCCCAUAUUGAUCAGUAGUGGGAUCAUGCCUAUGAAUCACCACUGCACUCCAGCCUGGGCAACAUAGCAAGACCCCAUUUCU
rnacentral:SRP_RNA from 1 species